GACGAACGCUGGCGGCGUGCCUAACACAUGCAAGUCGAACGGAGUGUUUAUUUAUAAACACUUAGUGGCGAACGGGUGAGUAACGCGUAGACAACCUACCCUCUAGAUGGGACAACACCGCGAAAGUGGUGCUAAUACCGAAUGUUGUAAUGUUAUUGCAUAAUGAUAUUACUAAAGGUGGCCUCUAUAUAUAAGCUACCGCUAGAAGAUGGGUCUGCGUCUGAUUAGCUAGUUGGUGAGAUAACAGCUCACCAAGGCAAUGAUCAGUAGCCGGUCUGAGAGGAUGAACGGCCACACUGGGACUGAGACACGGCCCAGACUCCUACGGGAGGCAGCAGUGGGGAAUCUUCCGCAAUGGACGAAAGUCUGACGGAGCAACGCCGCGUGAGUGAAGAAGGUUUUCGGAUCGUAAAGCUCUGUCUUCAAGGACGAAUGCAGAUAUUGUGAAUAAUGAUAUUUAAUGACGGUACUUGAGGAGGAAGCCACGGCUAACUACGUGCCAGCAGCCGCAGUAA
rnacentral:rRNA from 1 species